rnacentral:rRNA from 1 species
AGUGAACGCUGGCGGUAGGCCUAACACAUGCAAGUCGAACGGCAGCACAGUAAGAGUUUGCUCUUACGGGUGGCGAGUGGCGGACGGGUGAGGAAUACAUCGGAAUCUACUUUUUCGUGGGGGAUAACGUAGGGAAACUUACGCUAAUACCGCAUACGACCUACGGGUGAAAGCAGGGGAUCUUCGGACCUUGCGCGAUUGAAUGAGCCGAUGUCGGAUUAGCUAGUUGGCGGGGUAAAGGCCCACCAAGGCGACGAUCCGUAGCUGGUCUGAGAGGAUGAUCAGCCACACUGGAACUGAGACACGGUCCAGACUCCUACGGGAGGCAGCAGUGGGGAAUAUUGGACAAUGGGCGCAAGCCUGACCCAGCCAUACCGCGUGGGUGAAGAAGGCCUUCGGGUUGUAAAGCCCUUUUGUUGGGAAAGAAAGGCAGCAGGUUAAUACCCCGCUGUUCUGACGGUACCCAAAGAAUAAGCACCGGCUAACUUCGUG